rnacentral:piRNA from 1 species
UCAGGGAUGGAAGGCUUACCUGGGC